rnacentral:rRNA from 1 species
GACGAACGCUGGCGGCGUGCUUAACACAUGCAAGUCGAACGGAAAGGCCCUGCUUUUGUGGGGUGCUCGAGUGGCGAACGGGUGAGUAACACGUGAGUAACCUGCCCUUGACUUUGGGAUAACUUCAGGAAACUGGGGCUAAUACCGGAUAGGAGCUCCUGCUGCAUGGUGGGGGUUGGAAAGUUUCGGCGGUUGGGGAUGGACUCGCGGCUUAUCAGCUUGUUGGUGGGGUAGUGGCUUACCAAGGCUUUGACGGGUAGCCGGCCUGAGAGGGUGACCGGCCACAUUGGGACUGAGAUACGGCCCAGACUCCUACGGGAGGCAGCAGGGGGGAAUAUUGAACAAUGGGCGGAAGCCUGAGGCAGCAACGCCGCGUGCGGGAUGACGGCCUUCGGGUUGUAAACCGCUUUCGCCUGUGACGAAGCGUGAGUGACGGUAAUGGGUAAAGAAGCACCGGCUAACUACGUG